AAUGAACGCUGGCGGCGCGCCUAAUACAUGCAAGUCGAGCGAGAAGACGUAGCAAUACGUUUGUAAAGCGGCGAACGGGUGAGGAAUACAUGGGUAACCUACCCUCGAGUGGGGAAUAACUAGCCGAAAGGUUAGCUAAUACCGCGUACGCUCCUUGGACUUCGGUUCAGGGAGGAAAGCGAUACCGUGGUAUCGCGCUCUUGGUUGGGCUCAUGUCCUAUCAGCUUGUUGGUGAGGUAACGGCUCACCAAGGCUUCGACGGGUAGCUGGUCUGAGAGGACGAUCAGCCACACUGGCACUGCGACACGGGCCAGACUCCUACGGGAGGCAGCAGUAAGGAAUAUUGCGCAAUGGGCGAAAG
rnacentral:rRNA from 1 species